rnacentral:rRNA from 1 species
GAUGAACGCUAGCUACAGGCUUAACACAUGCAAGUCGAGGGGAAACGAUAGAGAAAGCUUGCUUUUUCUAGGCGUCGACCGGCGCACGGGUGAGUAACGCGUAUCCAACCUGCCCACCACUUGGGGAUAACCUUGCGAAAGUAAGACUAAUACCCAAUGACGUCUCUAGAAGACAUCUGAAAGGGAUUUAAAGAUUUAUCGGUGAUGGAUGGGGAUGCGUCUGAUUAGCUUGUUGGCGGGGUAACGGCCCACCAAGGCGACGAUCAGUAGGGGUUCUGAGAGGAAGGUCCCCCACAUUGGAACUGAGACACGGUCCAAACUCCUACGGGAGGCAGCAGUGAGGAAUAUUGGUCAAUGGGCGAGAGCCUGAACCAGCCAAGUAGCGUGCAGGAUGACGGCCCUAUGGGUUGUAAACUGCUUUUAUAAGGGAAUAAAGUGAGCCUCGUGAGGCUUUUUGCAUGUACCUUAUGAAUAAGGACCGGCUAAUUCCGUG